AUUGAACGCUGGCGGCAUGCCUUACGCAUGCAAGUCGAACGGCAGCACGGGUGCUUGCACCUGGUGGCGAGUGGCGAACGGGUGUGUAAUACAUCGGAACAUGUCCUGUAUUGGGGGAUAGCCCGGCGAAAGCCGGGUUAAUACCGCAUACGAUCUACGGAUGAAAGCGGGGGACCUUCGGACCUCGCGCUAUAGGGUUGGCUGAUGGCUGAUUAGCUAGUUGGUGGGGUAAAGGCCUACCAAGGCGACGAUCAGUAGAUGGUCUGAGAGGACGACCAGCCACACUGGGACUGAGACACGGCCCAGACUCCUACGGGAGGCAGCAGUGGGGAAUUUUGGACAAUGGGCGAAAGCCUGAUCCAGCAAUGCCGCGUGUGUGAAGAAGGCCUUCGGGUUGUAAAGCACUUUUGUCAGGAAAGAAAUCCUUGGCUCUAAUACAGUCGGGGGAUGACGGUACCGGAAGAAUAAGCACCGGCUAACUACGUG
rnacentral:rRNA from 1 species